rnacentral:tRNA from 1 species
UCUUAAUAGCUUAUUAAGAGCAUAAUAUUGAAGAUAUUAAGGAAAUUAAAAUUUUAAGAUAU